rnacentral:rRNA from 1 species
UACAGAGGUCUCAAGCGUUGUUCGGAAUCACUGGGCAUAAAGAGCACGUAGGCUGCGCGCUAAGUCAGGUGUGAAAUCCCCCGGCUCAACCGGGGAACUGCACCUGAUACUGGCGUGCUCGAGGACGGUAGGGGUGAGUGGAACUCCAGGUGGAGCGGUGAAAUGCGUAGAUAUCUGGAGGAACACCGGUGGCGAAAGCGGCUCACUGGACCGUCUCUGACGCUGAGGUGCGAAAGCUAGGGUAGCAAACGGG